AGUGAACGCUGGCGGUAGGCCCAACACAUGCAAGUCGAACGGCAGCACAGUAAGGGCUUGCUCUUACGGGUGGCGAGUGGCGGACGGGUGAGGAAUACAUCGGAAUCUACUUUUUCGUGGGGGAUAACGUAGGGAAACUUACGCUAAUACCGCAUACGACCUACGGGUGAAAGCAGGGGAUCUUCGGACCUUGCGCGAUUGAAUGAGCCGAUGUCGGAUUAGCUAGUUGGCGGGGUAAAGGCCCACCAAGGCGACGAUCCGUAGCUGGUCUGAGAGGAUGAUCAGCCACACUGGAACUGAGACACGGUCCAGACUCCUACGGGAGGCAGCAGUGGGGAAUAUUGGACAAUGGGCGCAAGCCUGAUCCAGCCAUACCGCGUGGGUGAAGAAGGCCUUCGGGUUGUAAAGCCCUUUUGUUGGGAAAGAAAAGCAGCAGGUUAAUACCCCGCUGUUCUGACGGUACCCAAAGAAUAAGCACCGGCUAACUUCGUG
rnacentral:rRNA from 1 species